CCUGCUCGCUGCCACUGCUCACCCACCAUUUUCCGCGCUGGCCCCGGUGGUCAGCGCACAUCAUAGUGAGCGAUCUAACUCAUGGUGGAACUCCCAAGGGGACAAUUUUGCAUAUUAGCCUUUUAUUAAAUAGGAGGAUAAUGUUUUCCAGGUUUAUCCAUCUUGUCGCAUGUAUCAGUAAUUUACUCUUUUUUAUGGCUGAAUAAUGUCCCAUUGCAUGGAUAAACCCCUAUUUUAUCUGUUAAUGCACAUUUGGGUUUCCAGUCAUUGAAUGAAUGCUUCUAUGAAUAAUGCUUCUAUGAACAUUCAUAUAUAAGUUUUUAUAUAAACGUGUUCUUUGGGGAAUAUAUUUAGGAGUGGAAUUGCAGUGUCAUAUGGUAAUUCUAUGUUGCCUGAAGAACCACUAAACUAUUCCAUAGCAGCUAAACCACUUUACAUUCCCAACAGUAAUGUAUAAGGGUUCUUUUUUUCUUUUUUAAUUGAUUUCAGAGAGGAAGGAAGAGAGAUAGAGAAACAUCAAUGAUGAGAGAGAAUCAUUGAUUGGCUCCCUCCUGCACGUCCCCUACUCGGGGGUCGGGGGGAUCGAGCCUGCAACCCGGGCAUGUGCCCUUGGCUGGAAUCGAACCUGGGACCCUUUAGUCUGCAGGCUGAUGCUCUAUCCACUGAGUCAAACCAGCUAGGCCUGUGUAAGGGUUCUGAUUUCUCCACAUCUUAGUCAACACUUGUUUUCUGUUUGUUUGUUUUAAUUAUAGUCAUCCUAGUAGAUGUGAAGUGGUGUCUCAAUGGCUAAUGAUGGUGAGCAUUUUUUUCAUAUGCUUAUUGGCCAUUUGUAUAUCUUAGAAUUGUCUAUUCAUACCUUUUGCUCACUUGAAAAUUGUCAUUUUAUCAUUGAGUUGUAAGAGUUCUUUUUAUAUUCUAGAUACUAGACUCUUAGCUGUGUCCUAUGGACACCCCUCCCCCCCAACUGGUCUUUGAACAUUUCCUUUCUGUCACAAAAAGAUGUUCCAUACUAAUCUUACAUUUCCCUACCUUUCACCUGGAAUCAGCCAUUUUCCCAAGGAGUCCUGGUUCCCUUUAGUGGGGAUUGGAAAUUAGAAACUAAGAUCUGGACCAGCGGUUGCCAACCGAUGGUCCGUGGGCCACUGGUGGUCUGCGAGGUCCGAAAGGUUGGCGACCGCUGAUCUGGAUUGUAGGCAUGCUCAACGUUAGUGGGUGCUAGGCCCUUUCAGUGGGCAUACAAUAUGUAAUUUUAAAAUAUUUAACAUUGCUUGAAACUUGAUUUAUAUCAGUUGUCUUUAUUCUUUCUUAUGGCUUCAUAGUACUCAAUUAUGUGGAUGUUCCAUAGUUGAUUCAACAAAUCUCCCAUACCUGGACUUUUAAGACAUUUCCAGUCAUGUUUUUACAUAAUGCCACAAUAAGUAGCCUUGUGCAUACGUUGUUUUUACUUGUGGAGAUGUAUCUUCAGGGUAAUUUCCUAGCAGUGAUUCUACCCAGUCCAAGGGUGGGGAACGUUUGGUCUGGCCCUGCCAAGGUAUUAGGGGUGAGUUAAUUAAAUGUUUGACCAAAUAUAGUAGGCUGAUUUUUUAAAAUAUAUUUUUAUUUAUUUCAGAGGGGAGGGGAAGGGAGAGGAAGAGAUAGAAACAUCAAUGAUGAGAGAAUCGUUGAUGGGCUGCCUCCACACUCCUUACUGGGGAUUGAGCCUGCACCCCGGGCAUGUGCCCUUGACUGGAAUCUAACCCAGCUACCUUCAGUCCACAGACUGACGCUCUAUCCACUGAGCCAAACUAGCAAGGGCAGCAAACUAAUUUUUAAGUUGAUAUUAAAUUCUAUAUGGCCCUCGAAUGAUGUUAGAAAUUUACAAAUGGUUCUUGGCAGAAAAAGGUUCCCCACCCUGUCCUAGUCAAAAGGUAAAUAAAGGUACUUCUGUAGUUUUUGUUUUGAGAUGAUCAUAGUCCUUUCCAUAAAGGUUACAUCAUCCUGUACACCUACCAGCAGUUGUAGAAAUUAGGAAGUUUGGUGAAUAAACACUUAUUUGGGGGAUUAUUUGAUGACACUAGCAGUAGCAUUGUAAAGCAAAUGCUUAUUUUUAGAGAUUGCUGUAUUCCAGUGACUCUAGAUGUUUCAUAUAGAGUGAUUUAAUUUUCACAACAACUCUGAGAGACAAGUUCCUCUAUCAUCUCCAUCUUAGUUUCCAGAUGAGGAAACUGAGGCAUGGAUAGACUAAACAGCUACCAAGGUCAGAGCCAGAAUUUGAAUCCAAGAGGUUUAUUAGCUUCUGUGUUUCAGCUAAUUGUGGUGCUGUGCAGGUGUUUAUUAUACUCAUGUAAAACAGAUGGGGAAAUAGGCCCAUUGAAAGUUUUGCCCACGGCUGUCCUAAGCACAUGUGUGCUGCUGGUUAGCCUUUUUCCCUUUCUGUCACAGAUGGAGGAGUCAUUCUUGUUAGGUGGGGAAAUACGGCAGAGAAUGUACCCAAAGAGAAAGAAUACAGUACACCGGUAAAAAAGGGGAAGGGUCCACAGUCAGUUACUUUGCUGAGAAAGGCAGGUUGUGCCUGCCACUCUCCUAUCUUGGAAGGAUAGCUGCCUCUCAAGGCAUGAAGAGCUUAGGGGGUCAUCUGUGGUACGGGCUUUUGGCAGGCCCUGAGAUGUAGACUUUCACCAGGUCUACAUCGGGUUUUUUCUCCUGCCACCUCUGUAUUGGGAGCAGUGCGUGGAGGGAGGCAGCCGAACUGUUGGGAAGAAAAGGAUUAGGCUCCGGUGGGUUCCAAUCCUGGUACUUCCUCUGACCUUGUAGAAGUCUUACUGUGGAAUUGGGCAAAUUUAGUUUAGACAGAUGAGCAAUUGAUCAAAAAGCAGAACAAGAAAACAACCAAAAUUGGGGAACUUCACCCUUCUUAGGCCUGUCUUUGUAACGUGGGAAUAAAAUGUCUUUCCAUUCAUUGUGAACAUUAGAGGAGGUACACAUGUGCCUGGCGUAGGGUAGGUUUUCAAUGUGACUGUUGACCCUGAAAACACCUCCAGGAAACUCCCUAAUAAACAUUGUUCCAGCGACGCCCCCUUUGUAGAAUCUACCAUUUCCAUUUGUGGCAUUUUACAUUUUGUCGUUUAAAUAUCAUCUCUAAAGAAAACAGGUUGGAGGGAUGGAUAUCCUGUAACCAUUCUCCUGGUGUAGUUCCCAUGGGAUGCCAUACACAGCUGAGCCCUCGAUCUGGAGGCAAGGACAGUGCUUGCUCUUUAGUGCUGUAUUCCUUACCCUGCAAGGCCUGCAGAUAGCCGCAAGGAUGCAAAGUGCUAUCUUGAUGCCUGCUCUGACUUGACUUGCUUGAUGAGGCACAGAUAGUGUGUUCUGAUUAGGAGGAGACUGAAGUCACAGGCCUGUAGCAGUGUUGGGAGCAGGAGGCAGGAAGGAGCCAAAACCACUGCGCUGGACAGUGUACCCUGCUGGUGCAAUGGGCCAGGCCACACUUGAGACAUAGCCCAAAGUCUCUUCCUGGGCUUUGAUUCUGAGGGAAUCUUACAGCUUGAAGGAGGAGAUGCUGAGAUAGCAGGGGAUUGAGAGGCCAGGAAUGGGGCUUUGGGGGUACCAGAUCAGUGGGAACCAGGGUUCUUUUGGGGAGGGUUGAGACCUUGGGCAGCAUUUCACAGAGGAGGAGCCUAACCUUUCAAGUGCUUCUAAUCUUGUUAAUAAAUUCCUAUGUGAAUAAAGUUAACAUUUUUUCCAGUACUGUUAACAUUGAAUUGUAUUCUAUUUUGUUCUGUUAAUCCUCACCCAAGGAUAUUUUUUUCCAUUGAUUUUAGAAGGGGGGGGGGGG